rnacentral:lncRNA from 1 species
AUGAGGAUGGAGCAGGGACAUCAACAAUCACAAAGAGAGGGGCUUUCCCUUGGAAGUGACAAGUUACUAGAUAGAUGGAAGCUUCCCAGUGGCACUGGAAAACAGACUCUAAAGUUUUUUGAUGAAACAGAACACGUGAGUAACAGUAUGUUUGUUUCUCUCCACCCCCUCAUUCCCUUCUCUCUCCUUUCCUCUAUCUUCCCUCCCUCCCUUUUUUUCUACUGGUUCUGGGGAUUGUGUUUCAUUUGGGUUUACAAGAUAGGAGAAAAUUUGCACUGCUCAUAUGCAUUAGAAUGCACUGCUUACAGGAAAAGGUUGUAUUGAUGGGAUGAUGUCACAGCCUUAGCAUCCCAGUACUAACUAAAUAUAACUUUUAGUGUUUAAUAAACUUAACACGACAAGGGCGAUUAAAAGCA